CUCGAAGUUGACAUGAUACCAUAUGCCAUGAUCAGAAAUCGUUUUGCAUUCUAGAACCUUCACAAGCUUAAAAUUCAAACGCUCUUGAUGAUUGUAAUAGGAUAAUGCAGCCUUAGCAAUCCUCUUCCACUCCCGCGCCAUCUGUUUCUCCCAUUUACGCUUUUCUUCAUGGGUCUCCAGCUUCUCUAGAUCAGCUUUAUCCAUUGGUUCAGUUCUUAAAA
rnacentral:misc_RNA from 1 species